CCUACGGGAGGCAGCAGUGAGGAAUAUUGGUCAAUGGUCGGGAGACUGAACCAGCCAAGCCGCGUGAGGGAUGAAGGUCCAGAGUAUCGUAAACCUCUUUUGUCAGGGAACAAAGGCGGGGACGCGUCCCCGGAUGAGUGUACCUGAAGAAACAGCAUCGGCUAACUCCGUGCCAGGAGCCGCGGUAAUACGGAGGAUGCGAGCGUUAUCCGGAUUUAUGGGGUUGAAAGGGUGCGCAGGCGGUCUGUUAAGUUAGCGGUCAAAGCCCGGGGCUCAACCCCGUGCCGCCGUUGAAACUGGCAGUCUCGAGUGGGAGAGAGGUAUGCGGAAUGCGCGGUGUAGCGGUGAAAUGCGUAGAUAUCGCGCAGAACUCCGAUUGCGAAGGCAGCAUGCCGGCUCCACACUGACGCUGAGGCACGAAAGCGUGGGUAUCGAACAGGAUUAGAUACCCUGGUAGUC
rnacentral:rRNA from 1 species